rnacentral:tRNA from 1 species
GGGGUUGUGGCUCAGAGGUAGAGCACUCGCCUAGCAUGCGUGAAGCACUUGGUCCGAUCCUCAGCACCA